AGUUCGGACUGCAGGCUGCAACUCGCCUGCACGAAGUUGGAAUUGCUAGUAAUCGUGGAUCAGCGUGCCACGGUGAAUACGUUCCCGGGUCUUGUACACACCGCCCGUCACACCAUGGGAGUCGGAAAUGCCCGAAGUCAGUGACCCAACCGUAAGGAGGGAGCUGCCGAAGGUGGAGCCGGUAACUGGGGUGAAGUCGUAACAAGGUAAC
rnacentral:rRNA from 1 species